GAUGAACGCUGGCGGCGUGCCUAAUACAUGCAAGUCGAGCGAACGGACGAGAAGCUUGCUUUUCUGAUGUUAGCGGCGGACGGGUGAGUAACACGUGGAUAACCUACCUAUAAGACUGGGAUAACUUCGGGAAACCGGAGCUAAUACCGGAUAAUAUUUUGAACCGCAGGGUUCAAAAGUGAAAGACGUUCUUGCUGUCACUUAUAGAUGGAUCCGCGCUGCAUUAGCUAGUUGGUAAGGUAACGGCUUACCAAGGCAACGAUGCAUAGCCGACCUGAGAGGGUGAUCGGCCACACUGGAACUGAGACACGGUCCAGACUCCUACGGGAGGCAGCAGUAGGGAAUCUUCCGCAAUGGGCGAAAGCCUGACGGAGCAACGCCGCGUGAGUGAUGAAGGUCUUCGGAUCGUAAAACUCUGUUAUUAGGGAAGAACAUAUGUGUAAGUAACUGUGCACAUCUUGACGGUACCUAAUCAGAAAGCCACGGCUAACUACGUG
rnacentral:rRNA from 1 species